rnacentral:rRNA from 1 species
CAGUAGCCGCGGUAAAACGUAGGUCCCGAGCGUUGUCCGGAUUUAUUGGGCGUAAAGCGAGCGCAGGCGGUUAGAUAAGUCUGAAGUUAAAGGCUGUGGCUUAACCAUAGUACGCUUUGGAAACUGUUUAACUUGAGUGCAAGAGGGGAGAGUGGAAUUCCAUGUGUAGCGGUGAAAUGCGUAGAUAUAUGGAGGAACACCGGUGGCGAAAGCGGCUCUCUGGCUUGUAACUGACGCUGAGGCUCGAAAGCGUGGGGAGCAAACAGGAUUAGAUACCCCAGUAGUCCCUGUCUCUUAUACA